UCUCGUGAAAGACCCUGUAUACUGACAGAGUAUAUUAACCUGUACGUGAUACUCAAUUAAUUUUACAUUCUAAAACUGUUCUGCAAAGAAAGGAAACAAAAUUUAUAAAAUCUAAAAAAGUACAAGUGAAGAAUUGGAUGCUUCGAACCCAUAUACUACCAUCCACCACCAUAUGAAAGGACUCGAAGUACAGGAAGUCUCAUUCGGUAUUCCAAGCCAAUGCCAGGAUUUUGUUGUCUCUAAUCGGGUAAGUGUGCGUCUUAUUUGGUUUAAUAUCGUCAUCAUAGGGUAUAAUUGUCAUGUUUCGGGUAAUUUCAUUUUUUGUUUAUCACGUUGCUAAUGAUAGAUCUGGUUUCACCAUUAAGCCACAUUUUUAAACGUUUCUUGAAUAGUCUAAUACUUUGUUCUUCCUUUAGGUGUUAAGGGAAUAUGUUGAAAAUUUUUGGGGCCAAGUAGGCAUGGCUUCUCUGUCCCACACUUUUACUACAUCUUUGUGCUUGGUAUCUUACCCAACUUGAUGUCCAUAAUGAGUUUCAGAGCAUAUAAUUGCCUUACAUCGUGUACUCCUGCCAAUUCAAAUAGUUGUUGACUAAAAAGACUACGGAAGUGUUAUCAUCAAUUUGAAGGGUUCCCAUGUUCGGCAGGCCAGGAGAAUAGGAGGUAAAAACCAUGUACUUUGUUUUAACGACAUUUAAGGUGAGUUUAUUGUUUUUGAACCACUUGCUUAUUUCAGCAAAAUCACUUUCGGCUUUUUGCUUCAGUCCUUUCCAUGUAUCGGCCUGAUACUGAAAAACUGCAUCGUCAGCAAAACAUAUAGCAUCUUUAGAUUCCUUCAGUUUUAGUAAUCCAUUUAUAUAAAUAAGAAAGAGGACUGGCCCGAGGACUGUUCCUUGUGGAACACCAUAUGUAAGAGUUUCCUCCGAGCUCCUAAUCCCUCCAACUUCCACAAUCUGUUUCCUGUUUGUCAAAUAACUUUUUAGGAUACCAUAUAUUGGUCCUCUAAACCCGUAUUUUCUCAUCUUUUCAAGUAGACGGGUAUGACAGACCGUGUCAAACGCUUUACACAAGUCCACAAAUAUACACAGUGAAGGAAUUUUUUUGUCUAGA